UCCGGAAUAGUGCAAUGGUAAGCGUUCAGGCUUCGUACGCCACAGUUUUUGUGUUCGAAUCCCGAUUUCAGCA
rnacentral:tRNA from 1 species